AGUGAACGCUGGCGGUAGGCCUAACACAUGCAAGUCGAACGGCAGCACAGUAAGAGCUUGCUCUUACGGGUGGCGAGUGGCGGACGGGUGAGGAAUACAUCGGAAUCUACUUUUUCGUGGGGGAUAACGUAGGGAAACUUACGCUAAUACCGCAUACGACCUACGGGUGAAAGCAGGGGAUCUUCGGACCUUGCGCGAUUGAAUGAGCCGAUGUCGGAUUAGCUAGUUGGCGGGGUAAAGGCCCACCAAGGCGACGAUCCGUAGCUGGUCCGAGAGGAUGAUCAGCCACACUGGAACUGAGACACGGUCCAGACUCCUACGGGAGGCAGCAGUGGGGAAUAUUGGACAAUGGGCGCAAGCCUGAUCCAGCCAUACCGCGUGGGUGAAGAAGGCCUUCGGGUUGUAAAGCCCUUUUGUUGGGAAAGAAAAGCAGCAGGUUAAUACCCCGCUGUCCUGACGGUACCCAAAGAAUAAGCACCGGCUAACUUCGUG
rnacentral:rRNA from 1 species